rnacentral:rRNA from 1 species
GACGAACGCUGGCGGCGUGCUUAACACAUGCAAGUCGAGCGAUGAUACCCUCCGGGGUUGAUUAGCGGCGGACGGGUGAGUAACACGUGGGCAACCUGCCUUACAGAGGGGGAUAGCCUUCCGAAAGGAAGAUUAAUACCGCAUAAUAUGCAAUUCUCGCAUGAGAGAUGUAUCAAAGGAGCAAUCCGCUGUAAGAUGGGCCCGCGGCGCAUUAGCUAGUUGGUGAGGUAACGGCUCACCAAGGCGACGAUGCGUAGCCGACCUGAGAGGGUGGUCGGCCACAUGGGAACUGAGACACGGUCCAGACUCCUACGGGAUGCAGCAGUGGAGAAUAUUGCACAAUGGAGGAAACCCUGAUGCAGCAACGCCGCGUGAGUGAUGAAGGCCUUCGGGUUGUAAAGCUCUUUGAUUAGGGACGAUAAUGACGGUACCUAAAAAACAAGCCACGGCUAACUACGUGCCAGCAGCCGCGGUAACAC